AUUGAACGCUGGCGGAAUGCUUUACACAUGCAAGUCGAGCGGCAGCGCGGGGGCAACCCUGGCGGCGAGCGGCGAACGGGUGAGUAAUACAUCGGAACGUGUCCGUUAAGUGGGGGAUAGCUCGGCGAAAGCCCGGAUUAAUACCGCAUAAGCUCUGAGGAGGAAAGCGGGGGCUCCGUAAGGCCUCGCGCUGUUGGAGCCGGCCGAUGUCGGAUUAGCUAGUUGGUGGGGUAAA
rnacentral:rRNA from 1 species